CACACAUGCGUGGAGAGAGCAUCACUUUUUCCAGUGGCCUCUGCCUUAAAUGCUUUCAGCCAAAGGGUCUGGGCUGCUUUCCAAAAGCAACCAAGCUUUCUGCAGGCAGAGCACCACUGAGUGCCCAGAGGCCCUAUUAAGGCUGCACAGCCCUGCCCUGCUGGAGCAGCCCGAAAACGUGUUCUGCUCCUGGAGGAACAGAGGGAGAUUGUGCUGCUCUGUGCGUGCUGGAGGUGCUGAGCAGGAGCUGGUGAAGGAUGGAGCAGGGAGGUGGGCCCGGGGCUGGCUUUCCUGUCAACGUGCCACUCAGCCCUACUGCUCUGGGUUUGACUGACACUCGGCGGUCCUCCCCGCUCGUGCUUGGGGCUUCCUCCCGGAAAACGACUGGGAACAUCAGGGUUGCAACUGGAAGGUUGUGUUUCCGACUGAUUUGCAAGGCUUGGGGAGGCGCUGAGAUUUGCAUCGUUCUGCAACAGCCGGGAUCAAAGGUGCAGCUCAGAAACGUGAGGCGUUUUGGAGCAACCUGCAAAGCAGCUGAGGAAGGCGUGGAGCUGGGAGAGCGCAGACAGACAGCGAUAGAAGACUGAAUUGCUCCGUGCGUUGAGCAAUUAAGCCAAGCCGAACGGGGCAGCGUGAACAAAGCGAUGGGGAAAUCACUGAGGCACAAAGCUGAGCUCACUGACCGCGAUGUGGUGAGGGGGCUCAAUAAGGGUCAAUUAAGCUCCCACCGCACCGCCUGGCAGACGGAAUUAAGUGCCAAUUUUCUGCACUGCUGCAGAGGCAGAGCAUUAAAAUGAUAAAUAACAGGAAGUUUCAGCCAAAAAGAAGGAGCAAGUUGGGAGAUGGGAGUUUGAGGCUGAGCCGGCAGUGAGACAGCCCUGAGCACCACUGCCCUCUGCCGCAGCCGCAGCGCUCUCCUCUACAGCAAACCCACGAGGGUGGGUGGAUGGAAGCACGCAGACCCGCGGCUCCUGGCCGGGUAGUGGGCUGCUCUGCUUAGUGCACCCCGAUGGCUGCGGGGUGUGCCGAGGUUUUGCCUCCAGCUCGUUGGGAAGCACAUUUUUCGGCCAUAGGUGGGAUGCUGCAGCACUGAGAGCGUGGUGAAGGAGCAGAGCCCUUCCUUCUAACCGAGGUAUCCACGCUCUGCUCGGGGCCAGCAGGUGCAGGCAAAGCUCCCAUUAGGGCAGACGGUUCCUGGGCUCUCAUACGUGUGCGUGGCACAGCUGUGCUCGUGCAGCUCCCCGACCUCCUCCUCCUCCUCCUUUUUGCAGCAGGUGGGAACGCAGAGCGGCUGCUUUCGUUCUCAUUGCCACGCAGGGUCUGAGCAGUUGCUGCGGGUCGUGGGGAUCUGGGAACAAACGCCGGGCUGGGAAAGCAGAUUGCGGUCCGUUUGUGGAGGUUCCCGGGCUGAGCGCAGCUCUUCUCUCCCCGCGCUACGCUUUCUGAGCUG
ensembl:lncRNA